GACGAACGCUGGCGGCGUGCUUAACACAUGCAAGUCGAACGAAGUGGCGAACGGGUGAGUAACGCGUAAUCAACCUGCCCUUCAGAGGGGGACAACAGCUGGAAACGACUGCUAAUACCGCAUACUGAAGGAGGGGAGUGCGGCUGAUUGGCUAGUGGGAGGGGUAACGGCCCACCAAGGGGAUGAUCAGUAGCCGGUCUGGGAGGAUGAACGGCCACAUUGGGACUUGGACACCGCCCAGACUCCCACGCGAGGCAGCAGUGGGGAAUCUUCCGCCAUGGACGAAAGUCUGACGGAGCAACGCCGCGUGAGUGAUGACGGCCUUCGGGUUGUGAAGCUCUGUUAAGCGGGACGCGGUACCGGAAUAGAAAGCCACGGCUAACUACGUGCCAGCAGCCGCGGUAAUAC
rnacentral:rRNA from 1 species